rnacentral:hammerhead_ribozyme from 1 species
AUCCAGCUGACGAGUCCCAAGCAGGACGAAAUACAUGUCUUGGAU